rnacentral:rRNA from 1 species
UACGUAGGGCGCAAGCGUUAUCCGGAAUUAUUGGGCGUAAAGAGCUCGUAGGCGGUUUGUCGCGUCUGCUGUGAAAGACCGGGGCUCAACUCCGGUUCUGCAGUGGGUACGGGGCAGGCUAGAGUGCGGUAGGGGAGACUGGAAUUCCUGGUGUAGCGGUGAAAUGCGCAGAUAUCAGGAGGAACACCGGUGGCGAAGGCGGGUCUCUGGGCCGUAACUGACGCUGAGACGCGAAAGCGUGGGGAGCAAACAGG